GAUGAACGCUGGCGGCGUGCCUAAUACAUGCAAGUCGAGCGAAUGGAUUGAGAGCUUGCUCUUAUGAAGUUAGCGGCGGACGGGUGAGUAACACGUGGGUAACCUGCCCAUAAGACUGGGAUAACUCCGGGAAACCGGGGCUAAUACCGGAUAACAUUUUGAACCGCAUGGUUCGAAAUUGAAAGGCGGCUUUGGCUGUCACUUAUGGAUGGACACGCGUCGCAUUAGCUAGUUGGUGAGGUAACGGCUCACCAAGGCAACGAUGCGUAGCCGACCUGAGAGGGUGAUCGGCCACACUGGGACUGAGACACGGCCCAGACUCCUACGGGAGGCAGCAGUAGGGAAUCUUCCGCAAUGGACGAAAGUCUGACGGAGCAACGCCGCGUGAGUGAUGAAGGCUUUCGGGUCGUAAAACUCUGUUGUUAGGGAAGAACAAGUGCUAGUUGAAUAAGCUGGCACCUUGACGGUACCUAACCAGAAAGCCACGGCUAACUACGUGCCAGCCGCCGCGGUAA
rnacentral:rRNA from 1 species